CACGUAGGCACCAAGCGUUGUCCGGAUUUAUUGGGCGUAAAGAGCUUGUAGGCGGUUCGGUAAGUCGGGUGUGAAACCUCUGGGCUCAACUCAGAGACGCCACCCGAUACUGCUGUGACUAGAGUUCGGUAGGGGAGACUGGAAUUCCUGGUGUAGCGGUGAAAUGCGCAGAUAUCAGGAGGAACACCGGUGGCGAAGGCGGGUCUCUGGGCCGAUACUGACGCUGAGGAGCGAAAGCGUGGGGAGCGAACAGG
rnacentral:rRNA from 1 species